UCCAUUGUGUAGGCCUUUUGGCUAAGAUCAAGUGUAGUAUCUGUUCUUAUCAGUUUAUGAUGAUUAAUUUUUAUUGUUACUGGAAUUUUAUUUAGAACUUUGUAUGGCACUGGAUUCUAGGCAUAACACUG
rnacentral:snRNA from 1 species